rnacentral:rRNA from 1 species
GGCGGCGACCGGCGCAAGGGUGCGUAACGCGUGAGCAACAUGCCCGUAUCAGGGGGAUAAUCCAGGGAAACUUGGUCUAAUACCCCAUAGUAAUUUUUGUAAGGCAUCUUAUAAGAUUUAAAGCUUUGGUGGAUACGGAUUGGCUCGCGUGACAUUAGCUGGAUGGUAAGGUAACGGCUUACCAUGGCUAUGAUGUCUAGGGGUUCUGAGAGGAAGGUCCCCCACACUGGAACUGAGACACGGUCCAGACUCCUACGGGAGGCAGCAGUGAGGAAUAUUGGACAAUGGAUGGAAAUCUGAUCCAGCCAUGCCGCGUGAAGGAAAGAAGGUCCUAUGGAUUGUAAACUUCUUUUGUAUGGGAGCAAUAAGGCCUACGAGUAGGUUGAUGAGAGUACCAUACGAAUAAGCACCGGCUAACUCCGUGCCAGCAGCUGC